rnacentral:rRNA from 1 species
CUACGGAGGGAGCAAGCGUUAUUCGGAAUCACUGGGCGUAAAGGACGCGUAGGCGGGUUUGUAAGUCAGGUGUGAAAUCCUACAGCUCAACUGUAGAACUGCACUUGAAACUACAGACCUAGAGUAUGGAAGGGGCAGAUGGAAUUAGUGGUGUAGGGGUAAAAUCCGUAGAUAUCACUAGGAAUACCGAAAGCGAAGGCGAUCUGCUGGGACAUUUCUGACGCUGAGGCGUGAAAGCGUGGGGAGCAAACAGGAUUAGAUACCCUAGUAGUCC